rnacentral:lncRNA from 1 species
CCACUGUAAUAGUUAUGAUUUCAUAUUAAUUUUGAAGCUAAUAAAAAUAGCUUCGAGGAAAUGAGAUUGUUUGGAGUCAUAUAUUUUGCACAAUUGAGUUCAAAUUUUCUCUACACUAAUUUCAGCCAAAAAGAGCAGCUAAUUAUAUUUGGUAAUGUAUGUGCACGAUAUGAGAUGCCAUUGGUUGAGGAUAUGUCAUUUAUUUUGUUUUUUUUUUUUCCUGAUAUUUUCAUUUUUUUUUUCUCUGAGUUCAUUUUGAUAGAUGUCCACACAACACAUGUACAGAAAACUUAAACAUCAUAGUCAAGCUUUGAUAGAGUUUAUGAUUACUACUUGCUUGAAGUAAGGAGGAGAACGGAGCUG